ensembl:lncRNA
CUGGAACUGCUGCUUCAAAACAAGCCUCAAGAUGUGACUAACUGAGAGCACCAUAAUUCUGUCAGCUUUACUGUUACGCAGUGCAAUUGACAGCAACAACUUUACUAGGUGGGAAAAAAAAAAAAAAAAACACCAGAAACUGAAGGGGAAAAAAAAGAAAUAAACAAAAAGUAGCAGUAAAACCAACUGCUGAGGAUGUACUAAUAUUUUGCAAGCUGAAGCCAAGUGAAAAGGAAAUCCUUCUCCAGAGCUGUCCCUUUAAAUUUGGCAGAAGCUGUGCUUAUAUAGAAGUUGUUUUACAGCUCUCUGUUUUUUCUCAUCUUGCUGGUAAGUACUCAAAUUUUAUUGUGUUUACUCUUUUGGAUUCCCAAGGAAAUAGCGUAUUUUCAUCAGGUUUCAUAACAUAAGGGAGUUUUUCUGUUUUCUGAAGCAUUGCUGGAUGUUCUAAUUAAAACCAGCUCUAAGAUUAGCCAUCAGUCUUCACUGCAGUGCAAUAGGCACAUCCCUCCCAUGUAAGCCUUUGUAUUUAUCAUAGCUGUUUGUAUAAAUGCUGUAGUCAGCUCUGAAUCCACGUAAACCUAAUACAAUUUAAAUUAAUUUUGGAAGAGUUUUGCAAGACACUGCUGAAUAAUUUAGUCAAAUCCAAGAUGAUUACAGCCAGUUCUUCUUUAUAGUAUCUAAGUAAGUUAGAACUCUCAUGCAAAAGGUUUUUCUUGUUGCUGAUUUUAAGAGGCAGUUCUGUUUAUAUUGUAAAAUUUUGUGGGAAGUACUUGGUUGCUAAUAUCCAUAAAUCAGUUAUAUUUCAGUCAGGGUAGGGAUGUAUUCCUCCUGCGUUAGGCCAUUAUUAUUGAGACUAAUGGAUUGAGUUAGAGGCAGCAAUCUUCAAAAUCCCUUUCCUCUCUCUUUGAAUGUUUCUGCAAUAAGCAGACUUCUGGCACCACCUUGGCUUCUGAUGGGUUUCAGAAAUAAUUGUUGAUGAUACAGUAAAUUUGUUUUCUAUCCCUUGUGCUUAAAUCCCAG